AUAGAUAUAUACCAGGUCUCGAUUCGUCGGAUCGCGGUUGCCGGUAAGGCGGCUAGGGCGCUCUUGCUCGGCGCUAGUACUCUUCGACGGCGCCGGCCACGACGGUGCCUGGGCAGAUUCAUCCCUUGCUUUUCAUUUUCGUCGCUUCUUCGUCUCCUCUUCCUUUGCGGGAGCCAUUAGGGCAUUUGAGGGGGGGUUACCGCGGCUCCUUUGCUACUAGAUAGACCUCGGCUCGCCGUGCCGCUACCGGACGUGGCUGGGGCUAGCCGCAGGGAGCGGUUAGAGCUGUGGAAGGCUCGCUUCGAUCGCCCUGUUAGCAAGAGGCUCCAGGGGGGCAUGUAGGGCUGUGUCUGGGCAGGCUCUUCUGCCCUUCGGCUGGGGAGGUAGUUUUCUGUUCAUCGGUUCGGCCCGACUGGCCAAGCUCGCCGAUUCUACUCUAGCGCUCUCACAGGUUCUUCAUCUUAUUUCCGGCAAAGUUUCUCCCUUUUGAGCCCACCCAUACAUACUCACGUAGAUGCACACGGACGGACCUAAUUGGUGGCCAAUUAGCCAGUCAUACAGCAGCGUCCAAUUCAGGUUGGACGCCCUCUUUGUGUGAAUGGUCAGUAAGCUCACCAAAAUCACUCCAUUGCGGGUGCUACGGGGAUCCAAUUUCCUCCACCGGAAUUCCGUUCUGGAUCUCACUAGCUGCGCGCACUGACAUUCUGAAGAUCAUUUCGAGUUUUUAUCUGCGUCGUACCCGUGUGUUCGUGCUCUCUUUUGCGUCAUGAAGCUCGGAACGGGCGAUGAUGGGUCUCAUUUCAUCCUCGUCGCCCCUUUUGCUCGGCCCUUUCAAUCCGUAUUACGGUAUUUUAGAUAGAGCUUCCCCACCCCGUUUGCAGGAUUAUCCGGUGGCCGGGUUUGGGGGGGGGGGGGGGGGGCGGUGCUGGCAUCCGCCCCCGCCGGUGGGCGUGUAACCCGAAGGCUGCCCAUUGACUCCCCCAGAAUCUCAGCGCCACCAACGGAUGGGCCCCCGGCUCCUUGCAUUUGGAAACGCGGCGAGGGAGGGAUGAUCGCGUUUCAUCGCAACGGCUGCGUGCGGAUUCAAUCGUCGUAGUGCAUGCGCGCCCGAUCGUGAUGACAUAUAUUUUAUCAGCCGGUGUGGCGUCGGCGCAGAAGAACUCGGGACCCUUAUUCUCAUCUCAUUCAAUCGUCGAGUUGUUUGCGUCCGCGAUCGAGAUGAUUCAUACUAUAGCAGUCGGUGUGGUAUCGGCGGAGAAGAACUCGGCCCUUUCCCAACAUACUCGUUGGGAAGGAACAGUCGCCAGAGCCAAUAGAUAGGUGGCGCCAGCCGAAGCCUAAAUCGUACGACGCCCCGCUGAUGCUCCCGGGGCCAUAGUUAUUUCGGAGACUGGUUCGGCGCCACAGCGGUUGGGCGAACGUUUCCUUCUUCUUUUCGCCCUGCUGGACUGAUGUGGCCCUCCUCGUCUGCGAGCUCCGGGGUCAGCAGACAUUCGCCCUCUCCGCCACCCAACUCCGAUAGUCCUCGAGCAGCUGGUCCACGAGACGGGGAACGAGCCUGUCGAUCAAGCCUUGCACGAUCCUGCGCACAGCAGGGGGGUGGGGUUGGGGGAGGAGAGAAGUUGAGGGAGGCAUUAUGAGACACGAGAGCCUUAUAAAUAAGCAAGCUGGCUGCGUUAUAAAAAACAGGGGGCGACAGCCCGACGCCGCCACCCAGACUUGACUUGGCUUGCUCGGGCUGGCUACUCACAGGUUCCCGGGGGUCUCCACCGCGGAUAUUGGGAGCAGCGUGAACGGCUUCGUGUAGACCUGCGAGAUAACACGUCGUGAGCCAUCAUCAGCAGCAACGAUACCUGAGUUGUUUGUGAUCAUAUUCAUAUUCUCCGCCAUGCCAUUCAGCGAAGCAAGCGACACUGCGGGAACAGGCAGUUUAAAGGAGAGGAAUUCUAAACAGAUCUCUCCAGGGAAAGAGAAUGGCUCACGACCUCGAGGGCAACCCUCAAAUUCACGUCGAAGUUCAAGGACGGCUCCGGGGAGUCCUCGUCCCAGGUUAUAUGAUUCCUCAUCGCCGCUGCACGAGUGAACGCGACGUCAGGAAGAGAGCGGGCCGACCGAAAGCGAAAACAAGAUGGAAGUGGGUUCCGCAGAUCGCGACCCGCCCAACCCACCCAUCCAACGAGCUACGACGAUUCGUUUUCAGAAUGGCAGGCGAAAGAGCUCUUUCAACAAUCCAUUCUCACGCCAUUUUUACAUGAUGGACCCCUCCUCCCCCACCCCUCUCGGAAGGGAAGCCACCACAAGACGGCAGAGAAACCCGAGAAUUCUUCUCCGAAAAGUAUGGUUUUUUUGAACGCUUAAGCCGUCGUAUUCACGAUCGGCCGGCGCAUUGGAGAGUGCUUCAAAGAAGUGCCGGGAGGCCAACCUGAAAACCGGUGGCUCUGCUGCUCCAGCCUUUGUGAGCCCUCAAACUGAAAGGCAACAAGAACCAGGGUUAUCAUCACAAUGAACACGAGCGGAAUCGCCAGCCGCCUGGUGCAAGCAGCGAAAUCAUCGGUUCGACGAGCGAGACUCCCUAGCUUAUAAGAAAUGUUCUACUCCUCCGGGCUGAAUUCGUGCGAAAAACUUGCUACCCUUUAAUUCAUUUUUCAGCAAAAAAAAAAAAAGCUAGAUCUGCCUAGUAGUAGGUAGUUCUGCAUACCACGCAUACUGAUAGGAUUCAAAUCGAGUGGGAAGGAAAAAGCUUCUCUUGAUAGGCUCCGUUCACCUUGCAAGACAGCAUUUCGACCAUGCAGUCGUCACUUGUUGAGGUCACACGCAGGACGAUCACCGGCACCACCUCGAAGUUCAAGAAGUUUAUUGUCGGUAAAGUGCACCUGCGCCAGGCAAGGAGGGGGGCUUCAGAUAAACUCCGACGACGGAAGGCUCAGCUCACACGACAUACAACUCCCCCCUCCCCCUGCAGUGACAAAAUGCUUACGCUGACCGUCGGGUUGAUCACGGACUGCUCUAUAAUAGUUGAGUUUAUGACUGGGAGACGAGAUCCAACGAGUGGGAAGUGGGAGGGAUGGGCAUAGAGCAAUUGACGGGAGUGUCCAACCAAGCAAUCGAAUAUGCAUCGGGGAAAGAAAGAGGCCACGCAUCUCCAGGAGCCGCCUCCUGGAGUGAUGCCCAAUUCGACAUGUGGCGGUGCACAACCAGGGUUUCUCAUUGGACAUUUAGAACUUGGCACAAAGUCGAGCGCAGCUCUGGGAAGGACGGUGCCCGAUCAUAUUGCCACCCACACCCGCACCCACACAGUCAUAGAAAUCGGCGAAAAUUUCGAGUAGCUGCAGUAAAAACGUGCGGGAGAGGAAAUAGGGACCUGUAUGUGCUCGUUUCCAGGCAUUCUAUGCUCUGCAACGCCCUGGUGUUUAGAAUUGACUCCACACCUGAUGGGUGGCUGAGGAAUUCGCUGAUUGGGAAGGCCUUGCCAUUACCGUCCCUGUAAUCAGGCAGCUUAAUGCUCUCCUUGUGCUUGGCAGAUAGGUUGGCCACCUUCUUCCCGUUGGGCUCCGGCAUCUCAGACCUCGGCGCCCUGAGUCUCCCAUUACUUCCCCUGGAAUGGAAACCUGUCAGCGCAUCGCCCAGAAUCUCACUGGAGCAGCAUAGAAAUAAGGAUCCCCCCGCCCGGAUGGGCAGGAAGGCGGGGUCAUGGCCUUCGUGGUGAGAGACCAACACCAUCCCAAAAAAGGGCCUAACAGUCAAGGAGACCCUCGGAACAGAGAUCGUUGUUCUGAGGCCCUGGGAUGCAGUCCGCGGGAGUACGGCGGCGGUGAACCUCGGGGCAACCGAUGUAAGCUAAUAUGAGAGAAAUUCGGAGAUCGAAAGGAGGAAACUUCACCUUCUGUCGCCGGUGCUAGGAAAUGGAGGGAGCCCACGGACCCCGCGGCGACGAAUCCCGCCGCAUCGAGCCUCCGGAAAAGGAAGACGAUAUACUGGUCCCCCUGCCAGCAUCACCAACAACCCUGAACGAAUGUUGGCAGCAUAUACACGAAGAGCAGAAGACAGAGGGAAGGGUCACGGCGCCGCCACCGCAGCAGCGGUAGCUGCAACCCCCCUAGCGGCGAGGGGCAGUUCAGGCGAAUAAUAGACGGGCCGCCGUCAGAGCUGCCCUUUAGUUUUUGCUCUCUCUCUCUCUCUCUUUCUCUCUCUCUUUCUCUCUCUCGAUAAUAUAUAUAUCUGCUCUGCCCCAUUCUACGACGCAUAUGGCCCUCUCGUUUUUAUGGCGGACAAGAAAACCAUUAUUUUUCUUAUUAAUCAACGCGAGGCCCCGAUCGACCUUCGGGGACUCGUCAAAACUUUUUUUUUCCGUUAGUUUACUCCCGGCCGUGGCGUUCUUCCCCGUCUCCAGAGUACAAAUUGCGGCGUUCUCGCGCUCCCCCUCCCCUCUCUUGGUCUUCGGUCUCCCAACCCGCGAUCCUCCUCUCUCGCUCUCCAGCGUCCCCGGCCCACGAUCAUCCUCUCUCGCCCUCCGGCCUCCCGCCCCGCGAUCGUCUUCUCCCUCUGCUUCUCUCCAGCCUCUCACUGCACGAUCGCCCUCUCCCUCUCCUCGUCUCCGGCAUCCGGCCCCGCGAUCAUCCUCCCCUCUCCUUCUCCCGGGCAUCCCUUCUUUCCCCUCUCGCUCUCUCCGGCCUCCACCUCUCUUUGAAGGUGCGAUCUUCUAAGCUAAUUGACCGAGUAUUCGUCUCGUUUGAUUUCCAAUCUUCUUCGUCCUAGGAAAACUGUUCAUAUUAUUCGUCGUAUUGCUCUUGUUUUUUCUGCAACUAUCAGUUCAGUAUAAUUUUUUCUACACGCUGAUGUUGCUGCAAUGUUCCGUGUGUGGAUUUCCUGCCCUUCUCUUUUCACGGGCAUCGCAAUUGGAACAAUGUAAAAAGAAAUUAGAUAGCGCACUACGACGCUUCGUUCGCAACGACCGACCUAAGGCCGUCGCCCUUUGCCUGGGCGAUCGCGCAGCCUCGUCGAAGUGAAGUCUCCCCGGGAGAGGCAACUUCACUUUAGCAUUCACGUGGCUUUCUCUUAUCCAAUUCCCUCUCUGCUUUGCCUUCUCUCAGCCGACUUCCCUGAUGGUUGACCUGCGGCUUGCUCCGCCUGGAGCGGCAACACUAGCCCGCGCGCAUCAUCUCGUUAAGUUUGCUGCAUGGAGCAUGUUCCUCGUUGGCUUGUCAUUUCAGAAUUGCAUACACGGUGGUGAACUCAUAUUUGCCAAUUUCGGCCUAAUGAUCAAGGAUCUGUGAUUGAAAAUCGGUGCUAAUAUCACUGCACAAGUGGGAGCUGGGAAUUCCGAUUCAAUUGAAGUCUAGACAAAGGGAGUAAAAUCGAUCACAUCAGAAGUUUUUUUUUUUGCCCAGUUCAUUUGUCACGUCAGGCUGAAGAAAUCCAGCGAGAACACCUCUUGAUCACGCAAAAUGUCCAGCAAUAACAUUGUGGAAUUUACAGUUCUCACAGGAUAUGAAUUGAGAAAUCCAACCUUCACGGCGUGGAUUCUCUAGAAAAGAAAAGAAAUUGCGGAUUUCAUUGCGAAAGAUAUGGAUGAUUUCAAGCCUUUUGAGUCGGCCGUAUAUAUCUUCUCGCCAUCUUCGUUGUCUUGUUCCGCUCCUGAGAGAAUAGCCGGGCCUUUUGGCUUUUGGACAAUCUAUUUGCGGAGGGCAAUUGGGGAACUGGUCUCUGCAAUACAGUCGAUUCCUGGUAGAGGGGGAGGUGAUGCCCAGCCAGGAAUUCCGUCGAGGCUUGUUUCUCCGACGAAAUAAGAUAUUGCAUCCGGCUCAGAUUGUGCUGAGUCGUCAUUGUGAUCAACUGAGCCCAGAUGAGGAAAUCCUGACCUCAUGACUCACCCAUUUCACGUUUCCUCCACAUAUUAGAUAGCUAUGUAGAUUAAACAGCUGUACCAGUUUCGAAUCUGAUUCAUGCCGGUUCGCUUUGUCAUGGCUCCUCGUACGCUUUUUUUUUGUUUUCCGACCAGAUUCAUUGGUGACUGUGAUACCAAGUAAAUUAGUAUCAGUGGUCCCUGUUCUAUCGGUUCUUUCUGUAACCCUUUAUUGGCCUUUUUGGUUCCUACGGACGUAUUUUGCAGAAUCCUUUUCAAUCUGCAGCAUGAAGAGGCCACUGACAGCUACCUUGUGUCUCAUCGGAAGAUGGUAAUCACGCUAUUAAAAUGCCUUCGGAUGACAAGUACAAGAUGGAUGCUCUUCUGCGAGGAUUAUAUGCAGCGGAAUAUGCGCGGAGGGACAACACCCCUUGCCAGAUCGAAGAGGUAGGAACGCUAUCGUUUCAGGCCCGCCGUCUGCCGCCUCUACUGUCGUCCUCCUCUCCGUUUCUUCGUGUUCCCGUCGCUGCUCCAAUGCUUACUUGGGGCCAUACUUGAGAGAGUUUAAUCCGCAUGUGAUCUGAGUCUUCCGUAUUGUCCAACGGAUUGAUGGUCGCGGAGAGGAUUCACGUGGUGUGGAGGCUCGCAUGCGGAGAGAAUCAUUAGAGCUCAGAGCACGCCAUCUAAUCCUCAGGGGCCAGUCCAUUUCACUUGUGGCGGUACGGAGGCCGGCCCCAUAGAUAUCUCCGGUGGCCAUUCUGCGAUAUACCACGCUUGGUGCAAGAAAGAGUGAACCCGUCGAUCUCACCUCUCAGCUUGGAAUGCGAGAGAAAGCCGGAAAAGUGACGAGCGUCUUCUCUUAAGAAGAGCAGAACAUCUGCCCCUAUCCAGCAAGGAUAAUAAUCUUUCGGUAUUAUUCUGAAACAUUGCAGGGUCUGUUCUUGGGUUCCGUUGGAGCGGCAUUCAGGAGAGAUGAGCUCAAGGCAUCGAAUGUGACUCAUAUCCUGACAGUGGCUAAGUCCUUGGAGCCUGCAUUUCCCAAUGAUUUCGUAUACAAGAAGAUCGAAGGUGAGACUUAUCCAGUCCACACUGUAGACAUUCAGCAAUACAUCCAUGUGAAGCCGGCUGAUUCUCCAGAGUGCGCGCAAGAACCACCCUUGACCUUAACACCACUGUCGUUUUCGUUUUCUGCCCGGUGCCUCGUUUUGGGCGAUUUAUGUUUUUUUUUCCCUCACUAAAAGAUGGCGCGGGCGCGGGGAUUGACUACAAUUGUGAUGCCGAUUUUGACAAAAUUUGUGCCUUGCUGAUGGACCCAGUGCUGGACAAUCCUUACAUGGAUUUAGCGCAGCAUUUCGAUGCAUGCAUUGAGUUCAUCGACGGGGCUAGGAGAGGGGGCGGCGCCGUGCUCGUUCAUUGCUUUGCGGGGAGAUCGAGAAGGUAUUUCCUGUCCCCUCCUCUGCGCCUCCUUUUGUUUUUGCUUUUUAGAAUCUGCAUCGAAGAGGCGGUUAGCCGGGGGACCUGCAACUUUGUUAUUACAGAAGAUGCUGCGCAAAUCUGUUUUUCUGCCAAAAUGAGGACAUGAUUCGGUCUGUGCCGGGGGAGCCUGGGCAAGUGUAAAUUUUACGCCAGAUCCUAAUGCCCGCCCUCCCGCUCCCCUGGUUGAUUCGACCGCGCGCACAACUAUCCCCUGGGGUGCCAUUUUUCCAGCAGUCGUCUCGAUUCCUGUCACCAGAUCGAGCGUUCGAUGGCUCGGGGAGCUGCCCAUUUAAAGCUAAGCUCCUGAGGACGACGACUCGAAAAAAAUCGUGUGGAUCUAGAAAGAGGAAGGUCGAGGGGGUAGCGAGCUUUCUCCGCUAUGCCCGACGUCGAGCAGGGUCCUAGGCUAGGCUUGAGAUCCUAGGCUUGCUGAGGAAGCAUGUCGUGAACAGGUGUCGUACAUUUGGCGGCGUAGGCUCCCUCCCCCGAUCUGGGAAUUGCGGACCUUGACACGAGCUUAGGUUUUAACUGAGUAGUCUCGGAUGGUUUGACGAUGCUCUGCUGUGACCUGCUGCAGUGUGACGAUUGUGGCUGCCUAUCUCAUGAAGAAGCACCGUAUGAGCGUUUACGAGGCGCUGACCCUCGUCAGAAGCAAACGGCCUCAGAUAUCCCCAAAUCACGGCUUCAUUCAGCAGCUGGAGGCCUUUCAAAGCCGCCUUCGAGGUAGAUUCCCUGUGGUCGAUCAGCUCCUCCCGCUCAUUCUGUCGACGCUCUGUUCGAACUCGUUCUCGAUUUUGGAACCUGCGCAUCCGUAGAACACACACGGGUGGCGACAUGUGUCCGAACCCGGAGCGGAUGUGGGGUCUUCGUUUCUUCUUUUCUGGCCUCUUUGACGGCCGCUGCAGCGCUUGCGAUUUCACGGCUGAUCUUAUCUUGCGACGACGUGUGCUUUCACCCAGCCCAUGCCGACGCUGAGACCUCCGAGCAGUGAGGAGAACCCCCGGAGCAGUUGUUGCGGACGGCCCGCCUCGGACCGACCGUUCCUCGGAGCUUCUGACGUCCUCGCCUGCACUCCCAUCUGUUCUUGAGACCUGCCUGUUGGCCAUUUUCCGUGUGCAUCAUACGUUUGGAUGGUCAAUUUGCAAGAAGUAGCGGCCUCGCAGCGCAUAUCUGCUGCGCUCUGCUCUCUGUCGAGACUCGCUUGCACCCUGUCCCUGCGUGCGCGCGCGCACACGCACUUGAACGUGCAGGAUGGUAUUUUCUUCUACUGUCGACAUGCAGAACGGUACUUUCUUCUACUGUGGACAUGCCGAAUGGCACUCUCUUCUGCUGUGGACAUGCCGAAUGGCACUCUCUUCUGCUGUGGACAUGGAGAAUGGUGUUUCCUUUUACUGUGAACAUGGAGAAUGAUAUCAUCGGCGGGUCGCCAAUGCGUGCUUUGAUGAUACGAAGCCGCCGCGUAGUUUGUUGUGUGGGAAGAUUAGACUGCUAGGAACCUGUCAGAAAACAGGAGGCACCUUGAGCGAGAGACUCGCCUCCGGCCCCGGCCCCGGCCCCGCCCCCUCCUUUCUCUGACCCCUUUGUCGAGCGGGGAAAUUACAACAAGGAAGGAAAUGAGAUGCUAGCUGCAACACACGGCGACCCCCGUGCGGCCAGUCUCGCUCGAACAGCGCCCCACCUGCUUGUUGCUAGGGCCCGUCGUCGCCGUCCUUGAUGAGGUUGCAAAUGUCCGAGCACUCCACCAAGCUGCCACGGUCAGGGACGGUCGAUGUCAGGGGGCGGGCGCGAGGGCGAGGGCGUGGUGGCAUGAAAGGGCUAGGUUUUUUGUGAGGAAAAGGCAAGCAGGAAGGACUUGCCAGUAAUUGCGGCUGCGGAAGCCCGACUUGAAAACCACGAGGGGCCUGCAUUCAUCAACCGGGGGGGGCAGUCAGUCAAUGCACUGUUAUCCUCUUGUUUCUCCUCACCCUGAGAUUUUUCUUUUUCACCACCUGCGGACGUUGAAGGGGCCCUCGCCGGGGGAGCCGGCGCCGCCGCGAAUGCAGGUUCCGAGGCACUUGACGGUGCACGACUCUGCCUGCCUCGACUUAGGCUUCUGGAUUCUCUUGCGCUCCCCUCCGCCACCUGCCACCUCCGCCUGGUCACAAUCUCCCCAAUUGCCAAUCGCCAAUUCCCGAUCCCCCGAUGUGCGACGAAACACUAGGCAAAGGUGCGAACCGACCGACUUGACUAACCGGAGAGCGUCUGAGGCACGUCCGCAAGGGUGGCAUCGUCCGGUAAUGGCGAAGACUCCGCGGGGCCGCAGGAGGAGGAAGAGAGCACAACCGCCGUCGCUAGCAGGCCCGGCAGCCAUCUGCACGCCUCGACGGGGCUCGGCCCUCGCCUUGCGCCCGCAGAGACGCAGGGGGGGGAGGAGGAGGAGAAAGAGGGCGCCGAGCCCGCGAGGAUGUGGUGGCUAAGGCGCCAAGAGAGGCGCCGGCGGCGAGGGAAGGGAAGGAAACGGGGCAGCAGCGCUUGGCUGCGCGGCUGGACGAGGAGCGUCAUCCUGGAUCGUUUCUCCACAGCCACAACUGAGUCCCGACCCCCCACCUUCCCCCCUCCUGCUCGGUCGGUUUUGUUCGCUGGCACUCGGCCCUGGCGCGGUCGAGAUGGCCCAUUCGCGGCGGCCUCCUCUUUUGGCCCAUUGAGCCGUGCCGCGCUGUUUCAUAACUCCGGCUAUUUCGGCCUUUCUCCCGCUCAGCGAGACCGCCGCGACCUGGAGAGGCGGGGGCCGGAAGAGGAGCGGCGGAGGAUAGUGCGUUGCCUCUGAGAACGAGAGGGCUCCGCCGACGGCAACGCGGGGCAUUCAUCACGUCAGUCCAAUGCGCUUCGCAGCGAGGACGAUUAGGAAGGACCUUCUGUUAAUAUCGGCGCCCGUAAGUCGGGCGCGUGUAAUGAUGGAUCAUCGCGGCUGUAAGAAGAGAACCUUACCGCGUUUCUCCAAGGGAGGGAGUCCCUCUCUCUCUCUCNNNNNNNNNNNNNNNNNNNNCUCUCUCUCUCUCUCUCUCUCUCUCUCUCUCUCUCUCUCUCUCUCUCUCUCUCUCCCCCUUCCCUCUCCCUCGUGUGACUCCUACGUUUCAGGUCUUAUUUCAAGUAGAACAAUUAGCCCCCCAACUAACCAGGGUACCGCUCUCUCUCAUCUCCCUUUAUGUCACUUCAUCAUCUGGUAUAAGAGUCACACCUCCCAAGCCAAGUGGUGCUAAAAUAGAGAUCAUUGAGAAGGAACUAGAAGACUUAUGGUGGGACAUCCCGCAGAAUGCCACCACAAACCAGGCAAAUGAAAAAGAACUUAGACCCAUUAUAGCCCUCCAGAAGUUCCAAUAGAUAAAAGAGGCCAUAGCCUUGUUUUUUAUGAAAGGACAACACUAGAGGAAUCAAAGGUCUGACUACAGCCAAUUCAAAUCACAUAGAAUCUGCUCAUCCAGAAAGAAGAAUAAUGAUUGAUCUUCCCCCUACAGAAAUUCAGGGGUGCCAUUCCAAGGGGUUAUGUUUUACUUAGACGAGAAGUUUUCUCCAAGCCAUUAGUUUCGUAAGAAAUUACAGAUCCUUAUUAUACAAGAAGAGACUGAAUUUUAAUGAUAUACUUUGGACACGAGAAGAUUUGAGUGAUAGCCAGGUUGAAGAAGAAAUACUCACCAAUCUCAGAGUGUCUUUUAAGUCAAACACAUAAAUAUUACCGACAUGAGCUAUGAAAUUUCAAGGAAAAACCAAUAGCAAAUCGGUCACAAUCUUCAUUAAUAGUGGGAGAACACACAACUUAUCUGCCUUGAUAUUUUAUAGGAACUAAGCGUCCCAAUUAUUACCACCCAAUGAUAUCAAGUGAUCAUCGGACAUGAAGAAAUGAUGCUAAUAACCAUAAUCUAGCAAAAAGUUACUAUUACCCUACCAUCUCUGAGGAUUUUUGGAUCUUGUCACUAGCUUUAGUCGAUGUCAUCUUUAGUUUGUAAUGAAUCUUUGUGAUUAAGAACAUUGAGAUAAACUUUAAUCAAUGGACCUUAUCUGAACAUAACAAAUUACCCUUAGAAAAAAAAUGUCUACCAUCAGCCAGUGAUCUCCCGCAAGUCCUUGUCCAGAAUUUUAAAUAAAGGAAAAUUUUGUUGCAAGCUUUACCAAUUGACAUGACAAGAUUUCGGUGAUAGUUUAGUUUCACUUGAAAUUUAGUGCAAGACUCAACUCCUUGAUGUCUUCAUAAAGAUUUGAUGGCUGCUCCCAAACUAAGAUGUGAAUCAUGUCAUUCCAUUGGAACAAAACGCAAAGUCGAUCAAUAUCAAACUACUAAAAUAUUUGCACUAUUAAAAAAAGAGCUAGAAAAAAAAGGAAUUAUUCAACUCUCAAAUAGUAUUUUCUCAAACUCCACUCUCUUCAUAAAAAAAUAAAGAUAUGUGGAGGUUAUACAUGGACCACCACACCCGACAAGGCAACUAUCCUAAAUUGCCUCUCGAUUUUGGUUGAAGAAGAACUGCAAGAUGAAUUGCAUGAGCUAAAGGUAUUUUCUAAGUUGUGCUUAGCUACCUCCAAAUAUGAAUAUAAGGAAAAGAUAAUCCCAAGAUGGUAUUUCGGAUGUAUAGAGGAUCUUACAGAUUUUUCAUGGUCGUUUAACUUCUUGAAUGUCUUAACAAUUUUCAAAACGCUAAUGAACACAGUUUUCUAUAACUUUCUUCGAAUGUUAGUAUUAAUCUUCUAAUUUAUAGUAGGAACUUGGUGGCACGUGAAUGUCAUCAAACAUUAGUCUUCAGUGUCCUCCAAACUCAUUAGUUAUAUGUCAAAUUGAAGAAGUGCUUCUUCAAACAAUCAUGGAUUGCAUAUUUGGACUACUGAGUAUCUAUGGAAGGGGUUGAUUUGGACCAAGACAAGUUGAACAACAAUAUUAUCCUUCUAAUCUUCAUAUGCUAAAAGGAUUAUUUCAAGACUAAGAAACAAGGCUGGAGUAUAUAAUAAGAUUGUUGAUCUCUUAUCACAGAUACUAGAUUGAGCUUAACUGCAAGCUAUAGAAUGAUCUCAACUUGAACUAAUCAAUAUGGAUUGAGUCUAAACUCAUGUAAAAUUCUAAUUAACAUACAUUAUUGAAUGACUUCAACAUCAUUAAGAGAAAUUAAUUAAUUAGUCACUAUGGUAGGGGCAUUUAGUAUAUGGUGAACAACUAAUGAUUUCCAAGGACUUUGUGAUCAUCCCCAACCUUAUGAAAUAUUUUCACGACUUGACAAUUGAUGGUCUCUCACGAUUUUUAUGAAUAUACCUUCAAUUCAAGAAGAAUUUGAGGUGGAUUGGCAUUAAUAACUGCAUUAAGAAUUAAUAUAUCUACUCACUCUACUUGUCAGAAAAAAAUAAAUUUUAGUCCUCUGUUGUUGGGCUUUUGAAUCCCUUAUUGAUUGUAGAGAGUUGUAAUAUGACAUAGCACAUACUAACUGAAAUAUUUCAAAUUUGACGGAUUCAAAGUGAUACUGAUUGUGAUAGAUUAAUUGAUCAUGAUAUUUUCUCUCCCCUUCAACAAAAGAGAGCUAAAAUUUUCAUUUUCUGACUACAUAGAUUUCUAUUACAGCUCAUCAUCCACCGUGAUCAUAUCUUCAUGAAUAUUUUUUGGAAGAAGUUGUUCAAACUCUAAAGAAUAAUUCCUCACCAUAGUAUCUCAUACCACCCCUAAAGAAACGACUAAUCUGAAGUAGUUAAUCAAGGACUAGAAACAAAUGUUUCUUACUUCAUUUGUGGCCACUCUCACCAAUAGAACAAAUAGUUGGCAUUAGCCAAACUUCGAUACAACAUAAAUUUCCACUCUUUUGUAGAAAUUUUACCAUUUAAAGUCGUUUAUGUACGUGAACCAACAACCUAUCUUUAAUAUGAGCUACAUUCAGUGAGGUCAUGUGAACUCGAGUAAUUACUUCAAGAGAGAGAUGCAGCCCUUGACCAACUCAUUAACUUUUGAGAAAAGCCCAAGCUCAAAUAAAACCCUACGCUGACGACAAACAUAUCAAUAUUGAGUCUGAGGAAAGAGACCAUGCGGUGGUCUUUCAAAAACCUUGCCCCACAUUACUUUGGCUUUGUUAGUAGGUAGCCUACUUAGUGUUCCCUUCGUGUUUCAUGUCUCGAAACUCAAAAAAAAUAGGUAACUCAACUCCUUUAGACUUUUCUAGCCCACGAAUGCUUCACGAAAACCUUAAUUAAGCCCUGUAACCAUUUGAUUUCCUUGCCAUCCAACAUGAAGCACACAUGAUUGGAAUUGUGAUAUAAUGGCAGAGAAUUUCGAUCAUAUAGAAGAGGCUGCCAAACUCGAAGGCCAUGUGGGAGUCAACUCGAACUAUUUACCAAUAAUGUUAUGACUUCCACAUUGCCGAUAAGGUGAGACUUCUAUGGAGGGUUAUUGCUGAGACACACAUUCUACUCUAAUCUAUGUAGUGUAGAAUGUGAGUGUCUCCCUCUCCUCUCUCUCUCUCUCUCUAUCUAUCUAUCUAUCUAUCUAUCUAUCUAUCUAUCUAUCUAUCUAUCUAUCUAUCUAUCUGUCUGUCUAUCUAUCUAUCUAUCUCUCUCUCUCUCUCUCUCUAUCUAUCUAUCUAUUUAUCUCUCUCUCUCUAAGUAGAACAAUUCACCUCCCUCCCUGGGGCCCCAUCAGCUCCCUGGCGAGAUCGAUAGCGCGCAGGGAAGGCAGCAACCGAGAAGCACCAUGUGACGGACGGACCCUCGAAGCACGCGUAGUAACUGUAAUCCCGGAAGUAGCAGGACCCGUCAGCUCGCUGCCGCUCAAUCCAGGCAGAAGCUGCAGGACGCAUCCGCUCGUUGGCCUGCCUGCCUGCCUGCCUCCACCAUCCAUCCAUUAAUUACAUGAGCAGUCUUCCCACGCCCAGCUGAGAAGUCGCAUGGAAAACGAAAUUUAUGAUGGGAAACCACAGCUCGUCAUCCCACAUCCGCGCAUCCAGGGCCGCAGGGAGAAAACAAACUGCGCCGUUUUCUCCCCCGGCCAUCCCCGUUCAUACUGUCAGAUCGCGGCCGACAAGAUGACUGAGACGGAGGCAGAGACGAAGAUGAAGAUGAAGACGAAGAAAAUCUCAACCGUUAUUCGUUACGUCUGUUGACAACUGGAAAUGCGUACAUGUAUAUAUAUGUUCAUAUGUACACACAUGCAACCAUACUGACUACCUCACACAGAAUCAAUCCCGCGGAGCUACCGAAUCAAUCGUGCACAUAAAUUACACUGGGCAGCGUAGCGAGACGCCGCCCCUCCCCGACCAAACUAUACAGUCCCCCUCCGGCAUGGCGGCCGAGAAGAGCCCCAAGCCCGUCCUAGAGAACGGAGACCUUCCGCCGGGAGCCAGAAAGCACCCUUUCAGGCUACCAGACUUGUGGCAGACCAUUAUUCACUCCGUCUACCGGAAGCGAAUGACGAUGCACGAUAUGUCGUCCUUGCUCUUCCUUGCCAACGCCUCCGUUGUCAGGCGCUUGGCCGCGGCUCGCGGAUCCUUGACGGAUUUCACCAGAUCAACUGCUUCCUGGUUCUUCAUAACCUGCCAAACAAAAGGGUGAACUCUUAAGCCUUCACAUGCAUUCCUCUUCGGCGCCCAAGAAAUUUAGCACACAUGCACAAACAUCGUCAUAAAUCAGGAGGAUAUAACGGCGAAAUCAGAGCGCUUGAAACUCCCGCUCGUCCUCGAAAAAUAGGGAAAAAAAUGGACGAUUUCAUCUAGCCAGGCGAGCCUACAACAGUAGGCUACAGUGGCAGGGGACACAUUUGAGCACUCGUCCGCACUUCUUUCCUCGGAUAUCUAUGCAUAGACAACACUACUAAUCUAAACAUGCACUUCAGCCUGAUUUGAUGAUGAGAUCAGAAGGCAAGCUUGCCGCCACCUUUAUUUCAUUAGUUGUCGCAUGAGGUGCCUACAAGUCUUAUUUCAGGACCGUCUCUAAAAGGGGAAUCACACGAAAUGAAAGCACAAAAAUGCUGGACAAACUCAACAACAAUCCAUCAAGAAGAAUAUGGUUGCUAUAGCUAAUGCGACGCCUGCAAUGGCAGUAGUCUGAACAAAUCAAACGUCUUGCAAGACAAUCGCAGCAGUUAUCCAUAAAGUGCAAAAUCUUGGCAGAAAAAAAACAUUAUAAGAACGAUACUAGAAUAAUGUCAAAUAAUUUUUACUCCAAAGGGAUUCCAGAGCAAAACAUCCAGUAAUCGAUGACCAAGAGCGCACAUACAUUGGUGGAAGCAAAAUAAGAGGAUCCCAUUCUAAAAUGCAUGCACACCCGCAACGGUUGGACUUCGAUGGUGACAUAUUCUUGGAUGGAAAAUUAGAUCCGUGAUCACCGACAUCUCUUCCAAGACAAGGAACCAAUUCAGGCGUAGAUCAGCCAGACAGCAGGCUCAGAUCAGAUGGCGUGGCUUAGAUUGGUUCAGAAGGGUCUGUUGGGCCAGAUCAGGUCUACGGUGCUCUCAGAAUGAUCGUUUAUAGUAAGCAGCUUUCGAAUUUGGUGAAGCGAGAGUCGUUGGUCAACCAUCGUGCCAACCAUCGGAAUGUUCUGUACACCAUCGUCAUUUUUUAAUGCAAAUCGACAAGUAUCAGGAUGAUUUAAGCUUUUAAAUCGCAGCAAAGAGGUAGCAUCCAAAUCAGAUUCCUGAAUUACCUAAACUAUCCCACAACGCCUACCUGAAAAUAUUUUUUUCGUGUUAUAUAUACACACACGCGGCAGGUUGAACAGCUGAACGUAGAAGUCAGUAAACUGGAAGCGUUUGAUAAAGUUAGAGGCUGCUAGUAUCCCUAUCGUUAUUGGGUACUGACUAGGAUAAAUAGACUAUGCUCGGUCAUUGAUCAUCCAUAUAUGCAACUGACCAGAGGAAGGGACCGGAAAAAACAAACCCGAAGGUGGGAACAUAUGAAAUAAUGGCCCGGUGUAGAAGAUCAUGAAAGGAGAGGUUCGAGUUUCAAGACCAAAAAAACUAGCAAAGCUAGUCAGAGGAGAUUUGCAGCAGAAAGAAACUUUUAACUAGACAAAUAGAUCGUGGAGAAUUUAUCCAGGCGUCCUAGGCAGCAGAUGAUGAAUUCAAGAUCCAGGCCAUGGCAGAAAAAUUGUGGCUGGUGAAAUGAGAUCGUGGGAUUAAGCAGCGUGGCUUCAAAUGAUGCCUUCUCCAUCGGGGGGAUCCCGGGUAGUAAAAAGUAUACAGGCAUGAAGUAUUUGGAGAAGAUUGUCGGCUCUGUUUGAUCUCAUACAGAAAGAUGCCAGUCUCACGUCUCAUCAUCUCAUUUCAAUUGAGUGCCCUUCCUUAGCGACUCAAUUUAUUCUCCAUCUACAUACAGAACGGCUAAAAAGUAGGCUCGCCUCGGACCCUGCCAGCCCUGAGAUGAGACUGAUACCACUGAAGAUGUUUCGUCACCUAGAUUCUCCGUCCGCGAACCCACGUUCAGGACGACAUAAACACAAAAGAUUUCUUCAUAUAACCCUGUACACUCAACAGCGAUGACACUCGGAUUAAUUUUUGUCCUAGACCCCGGACAAGUACAGUCCAGGGUGAUAUGCCUCUUCCAUGGAGUAAUCACAACACACAGGCUUGUUUGUUGCUACAUGGUUGUAAAUUUUGAUUCUUGUCUUCCCCUUUCGCUGACAAGUUUUUUCUGAACCCUUCCCUCCGAUUGCACCACAUCAGCAUAGCAGCAAUCAUCAAGCUCCAUCCAGAUUUUAGAGGAUCUGACAACUUUUAGGCUCCUUCGAAAAAAAGGAUGAUUUUUGAAUCUUAUUGAAAAAAAGCAGUGACACAUUUACGGUGAUUAUGCCCUGAUCUGACCGUUCAAUGUCUCCUUUUGAUUCCAUUUCAUAUUUCCUUCCAUCUUUUGUCUGAUAUAUCAGGCUUUGAGGCAGUGCAACAAUGCACUAGUUCCUAGGAAGGUUCUGCCAGAAAACAGUCCUAGAAUUUUCCUUUAGGAGGAGCUAGUCAGAGUACCUCACUAGAACUUUUUUCCAUUUACAAAAGAAGGACACUGAAAAAAAAAAGCACCGCCUUUAACCUGAUAAUCAAGUGAAAGAAAAGGUGCUCCUUAAGCUGAUAAUCAAGAAUUAUGAUAGCCCAGUCUUUCUUAAUCACAUGAGACAGCAUACAAAAGAGACACACACAGUUCCAAAAUAGGAUAUUCAUUCAGCAUCCACUGCACCAACGUCAGGAAAAUCUCUUUAUCCCUGGCAAACCCCUCAAUAUUUCUCAGAAUUCUUUUGUUCCUAAUGUUUUCAAGAUCUUCCUUCCCCAACCAUUAAUUAACAUUCCAAUACAUUCAGAUAACUCUUAGCCAUUUCCUUAUUUAUUACGAUAGACAUCUAGGAGAACGCAACCCCCUUGUCCCAUGCACGUGAAAUUACAUCUGUCUCAUCUGGCCACCCAAAUUAGGGAGAUAACAUUUAGAAUCAAUAAUGUCCAAGGCUGGGGUCCAGAGCCCUCAUACAGACCGUCACUUAAAUAAUGCACCGGCCAGGUUUUCAAGAGUAGGUAUUUUAACGCAUAUCUACUGGGAAUUCGGACCGGUUGAUGCACAAAUAUUUUUUUUUUUUUUUUUUUAGUUUUGAUGCACAAAUAUCUAGCAUAUCAUUCAGCACAAACUUCUUCAUUGCUGUUCCUCCGGUAGUCCCCCCUAGGGUAACCAAAGAAAUAUCACGAAAAGCAUUACUGCUGUGUCAUCACCCUGUGUAAAAAAAAUUCCUUGUCUUUUCUCAAAUCUCUAAUCUGAAGCAUCGAUUAAUUUCUCAGCUCGUUGACCAACCAGAGGAAGACCAUGAUGUUGACUCUCCACAACUGGGAUGUGAUAUACCGCUUAAAAGAACAAGUAGUCUCAAAUCUCCCAAAAGCUGAAAAUUUUCAUUUUCACUUGUUCACCUGCUUGCUGGAAUUGGAAAACAAAACUAGCAGAGAUAAAACACGAGGAAACAGAGACGCGGAGCAUAAACGAAAACGAAUAGAGAAGGAGAGUAGAGCUGUGGACGGUGGAAACUAUUCUCCCCCCUAAAUUUUUGGAGCGAAACAACAAUGGCAUAUCAGGCUGGGGAAACGAAGAUAGUAAAAGCAGAUCAGGCAACACCCAACAGGAGGCCAAUGGUGAACGUAAAAACAGACCUUCCAUAGGCCAUCACUUGCCAAUAUGACAAACUCCGUUGUCGGGUCUAGGGGUACGUGCUUAACAUCAGGUUCUGAGCUCAAGUGCGCCUUAAGGCUCUGAUCACCAAAUGCACGAGCAACUGCAAGUUGACCGUUGACACGAGGGACGUCCCCUGGGAUUGCGGGAACACAAAUGUGAGUGAUGAACGCGUUCAUCCAGAGGAAGCAAACGAACCGGUGAAAGCAGCCAAAGCGAAAUAACAUCCAACAAGGGUUGAUGGGGCCUGGUGCAUGGUAAUAAGCAUGAAUACGAAUACGGUCCUAUGGUCAGGUAUCUACCAGGGAGAAUCGUGACAAAGCCUCCUUGCUUCUCAAUCCUUUUGCGCUCGAUGUCCGGCUCAUGAUCCACGGAGAGCUGUUGGGCAGCACCCUGCUUGCAGACGACCGCCCUGGAGUCACCCACGUUGGCUAUCCACAAGUCUCGACCAUCGAUGACUAUUGCUGUGACCGCCGUCGAGCCCCCCGGUCCCAACCUUGCUGCAUUUUCGAGGAUGAACCGAUCGGUCGAUUGAUAAGCAUUCCUUAUGGCUGCCUCAGGGUCCCUCCAAAAAUUUGGCUGCUCGGCGGACAACAACCAUGACAAGUAAGUGAACCACCUUGGCAGCUUAUGAAAAUGAAUAAAUCUGAACUGCCCUCGACCAGCAGUCAACGACACGCAGUCUGCACAAGAAGAAACGGCUGAAUAAGCGAAUCCGGCGCAUCACUGACCUCCUUGAGUAUGUUGGUGAAGAGAUUGCCCUUGAGGUAGCUGGGGACGCUGUCGCCAAGGUGCCCAUCAAAGAUGGCGUAGAGGCCGAGCUCGUGACCCCUCUCGUACCGGUGCUCUGCAACGUGGUAGUCCUCCAUGUCGUGGCCUGACUGGCCUUUUACCAAGUGGUAACCAUGUGCCCACUUGUUACUUGACUUCUUGCUCCGCCCCUUUCCUGCGGUGUCCCCGGCCGAUGACGAGAUCAGGCAAGCGGCAGCCUUAUCCACGGGAGAUAGAUGGAAAUCGUGUAAGGCCCAAGCAAAGGCAUUUAGGAGGCAGCGACAGACAAUCAUAUAAUGGACGGAAUGAGCAACAGAAAUGGCAAUUAACCGCGUACAAAGAAAGGGAAAGAAACAUUGAGGCCACCGAUCGUCCAACGAGGCCAUCUAGCCAUCCGACUAGAGAAGAUCGGGGGGGAAAGAGAGAUUGAUAAAUGGAUGGAGGGCUAUACAGACAGAGCAAUAGGAAGAUCAUCUACCCCAAUCUAUCGAAAUUCCUCCUGGCGACUAACGGAGAACAGGAACAGUGAUAGGUAGGGGAGAGAGUUUUGUUUUGCGAGCUGCAGACCAACCAGUGCCAGCGUUUACAACUGGUCUCGCGGAAGUCAACACCCGCAGCGAAGGGAGAAGACGGGGGCAAUUUUCAGUCUCGGGAGGGAGCAAACCAGAGUUGCAUACCUUGAUCAUACUAAAUAAUUCGUUCCUCCUGCGGGUGGUGGUGGAGGAAGACGAGGACGGGGAAGAAGAGGAAGAACAGGCGGCGGAAGGGGCUUGCUGUGGCUUGUCCAUAAAACCGUCCCGAGCGCAGCGGCGUCCAGGCAUUACUCCUUUCGGCGCAUCAAGGGUAGGAGAAGGGUCCUGGCGCGCAAAGCACCAAGAGCGAGGGGGGAGAGAACGAGGCAGAUGGGCAGGCGAAGACCGGCCGCUGUCGCGACAACGAACAGAUUGUUCACAGCUCCGAUAGAGGGAGGACUAAGUCGGGUCACUCCGGUUUAGGCGGUGGUGGGGGAGGCGGCGCAGCCGCCAAGUCAACGGAGAAAACCGCGUGAGAUCUUGAGCGGAUACACGACGGACGGCGCGUGAGUCCCGGUGGGAUUCGGAUCCAAGCGGAAAAAAAACGGUGGACCGCGUGACGUAUGAGUAUGGAAAGAGGCGAGGAGACGGCAAGACCCCAAAAACCCCCGCUCCGGCCGUGCAUUCAUGACCAUUUAUUACGAGAGACGCUUCCGUGAAGACCCGGAAAUUAUGCCGCCACCAAAGGCGCAAUUUUUAUCGUCGCGCCUGACCGCUGACGGCGAAAUGAGCCUCCGAAUCGCGUCGCCCGGGCGGCUUGCACGUGCUGGGGAGGGGGCAGAUAAGAGGCAGACCUCAACAAUUAAGGAAGAGGGAUGGCCAGAUAUCCCAUCUGACGGUCGAAUACCGAAGCGAUGAAGUCUUCGCGUGCACAGAAACGCGAACACACGAUAUGAGACGGAGGCGUAUCGCCAGUUUCGCUGACCAGCGCCCGCGGAGAAACCGUGCUGUUCUGUGACCAUCUGUCAGCCGGCCCUCGGUUGAGUAGAAGGUGAGAAGAGGGCAGUUUUCCUUCUCUCGGGCAGGAUCGGUGCCAGCCGCCUGUCCCCGCACGGCAGGAAGUUAAGUAAGGAGGGUGGGUGUGUUCUCUACGCCGCGUGCCGUGUGAUGCUGCUGAAAUCAAAGGGAAUCUGCGCCGCGGGCGUGCACGUUCCGGAUAGCGUCGCCAUCUCGAGUCGAAACUCCGGAGGGGAGCGCCCGGGUGACCCGCCGGGGGGGGCGAGCACGGCGCCAACGGAGAAAAAACAAGGAUGCACGUGUGGAGAAGAAGAAGCAGCCGAAGCUUAACAAACAAACAUCGCCAGGGCCAAACCACCAUCCGGACCGGCCCUCAGUUUUUUCUACCAAAACCGGUGAAACCAGAAGGCGCCGGACGGGGCGUCUAUGUUACAUUUUAUGCAGCCGGCGAGGAUGGGAAGGGGGGGGGGAGGGGGUGGCGGUGAGAGAGUGGGAUGGGGCGACGGAUCGGCUUGCACUCUCUGAAGAAGCACAAGGAUGAAUCAAAGAAUAAAUGAACCCCAGGGCCGGCUUGAUGCGUCGCUGUGUGGCGGGCGUCGCGUUAUUCCAAGCGGGGGGAGCCGGUCUCCACCCCCCCUCGGUCUCCUCCGUCCGGGCGUGCCAUCGGCCGCCGCCUGGCACCGGGGUUUCUGCCCUCGCCUCGCGUUGCUCCCUGUCUAUUCGGGCGGUGCGCAGCGUGCAGUGUGCACUGUAGAAAGAAGCAGAAUCACGUUCCUUUAUACUCCCGCCUCCGCCUCGCACGCCUCAUGUAC
rnacentral:lncRNA from 1 species